AAAGGUCUAGUCCUACUUUAUAGCCUUUUGAGUAAAGCUUGUCUAAAGCUUGUCUGCCAUGUUCUUCUGCCAAGACUAUAGUGCAUUCAUUAUUUCUCAAUUCACGAAUUCUCUCUUCCAAAAGAAAGGGGAAUGAAUAGAAGGUUCUCUCUUCCAAUUUUCAUUACUUCUCAAUUCAUGAACUGGAAUUUCAGAGCCUUAAACAGCUGCACAUUUUCGGACCACACAAACCCAGAUUCAUAUUGGGUAAAGCAUCUCCAUUUACUUUCACAAAACCACAAGAAGUUUUCAGUAACAAGAAACAAACAUCCCACACCGUCUACUCAAGGUAUUAUCCCCUUUUGUUUAAUUCUCCAAAUCACCAACACAGAAUCCCAACACACACAGUUACUUGACGUUUCACUAUAUGUUUACAAGAUAU
rnacentral:lncRNA from 1 species